rnacentral:rRNA from 1 species
AGGGUUUGAUCAUGGCUCAGGACGAACGCUGGCGGCGUGCCUAAUGCAUGCAAGUCGCACGCAGAGUGCUUGCACUCUGAGUGGCGCACGGCUGAGGACCACGUGGGAACAUGCCUCGAAGUGGGGGACAACACCGCGAAAGCGGUGCUAAUCCCGCAUACGUUCGCAAGAAGAAAGCGGCAACGCGCUCUGAGAGUGGCCCGCGGCCCAUCAGGUCGUCGGUGGGGUAACGGCCUACCGAGCCAAUGACGGGUAGCUGGUCUGUGAGGACAGACAGCCAGACUGGGACUGAGACACGGCCCAGACUCCUACGGGAGGCAGCAGCAAGGAAUUUUCGUCAAUGGGCGCAAGCCUGAACGAGCAACGCCGCGUGCAGGAUGACGGCCUUCGGGUUGUAAACUGCUUUUUCGGGGGACGAUUGUGACGGUACCCCGGGAAUAAGGCUCGGCUAACUCUGUGCCAGCAGCCGCGGUAAGACAGAGGAGCCAAGCGUUGUCCGGAUUGACUGGGCGUAAAGCGCACGCAGGCGGACGCGCGCGUGGGGUGUGAAAUCUGGCCGCUUAACGGCCAGGCGCCAUCCCAUACGGCGCGUCUGGAGUGAUGCAGAGGUCGAUGGAAUUGCCGGUGUAGUGGUGAAAUGCGUAGAGAUCGGCAGGAACACCCAGGGGGAAACCAGUCGACUGGGCAUCUACUGACGCUGAUGUGCGAGAGCGUGGGGAGCGAACCGGAUUAGAUACCCGGGUAGUCCACGCCGUAAACGAUGGCCACUCGGCCUUUGGUGACGGAACCUCCGUCGCUGGGGGCCUUAGCUAACGCGGGAAGUGGCCCCGCCUGGGAACUACGAGCG